UUGAUCCUGGCUCAGAUUGAACGCUGGCGGUAUGCUUAACACAUGCAAGUCGAACGGAAACGGAACUAGCUUGCUAGUAGACGUCGAGUGGCGGACGGGUGAGUAACGCGUAGGAAUCUGCCUGAUAGUGGGGGAUAGCCCGAAGAAAUUCGGAUUAAUACCGCAUAAUCUAUUCGUAGUAAAGUGGGGGACUUUCGAGCCUCACGCUAUCAGAUGAGCCUGCGUAAGAUUAGCUUGUUGGUAGGGUAAAAGCCUACCAAGGCUACGAUCUUUAGCUGGUCUGAGAGGAUGAUCAGCCACAUCGGGACUGAGACACGGCCCGAACUCCUACGGGAGGCAGCAGUGGGGAAUAUUGGACAAUGGGGGCAACCCUGAUCCAGCAAUACCGCGUGUGUGAAGAAGGCCUGAGGGUUGUAAAGCACUUUCAAUUGUGAAGAAAAGUUAACGGUUAAUAACCGUUGACCUUGACGUUAACUAAAGAAGAAGCACCGGCUAACUCCGUGCCAGCAGCCGCGGUAAUACGGAGGGUGCAAGCGUUAAUCGGAAUUACUGGGCGUAAAGCGUGCGUAGGCGGUUUAUUAAGUCAGAUGUGAAAGCCCCGGGCUUAACCUGGGAACUGCAUUUGAAACUGGUCAACUAGAGUAUGGUAGAGGAAAGUGGAAUUUCUGGUGUAGCGGUGAAAUGCGUAGAUAUCAGAAGGAACAUCAAUGGCGAAGGCAGCUUUCUGGACCAAUACUGACGCUGAGGUACGAAAGCGUGGGUAGCAAACAGGAUUAGAUACCCUGGUAGUCCACGCCGUAAACGAUGAUAACUAGCCGUUGGGGGGAUUUACCCUUUAGUGGCGAAGCUAACGCGUUAAGUUAUCCGCCUGGGGAGUACGGCCGCAAGGCUAAAACUCAAAGGAAUUGACGGGGACCCGCACAAGCGGUGGAGCAUGUGGUUUAAUUCGAUGCAACGCGAAGAACCUUACCUGGUCUUGACAUCCUGCGAACUUUCUAGAAAUAGAUUGGUGCCUUCGGGAACGCAGUGACAGGUGCUGCAUGGCUGUCGUCAGCUCGUGUCGUGAGAUGUUGGGUUAAGUCCCGUAACGAGCGCAACCCCUAUCCUUAUUUGCCAGCACAUUAUGGUGGGAACUAUAAGGAGACUGCCGGUGAUAAACCGGAGGAAGGCGGGGACGACGUCAAGUCAUCAUGGCCCUUACGACCAGGGCUACACACGUGCUACAAUGGGAAGGACAAAGAGCCGCGAAGCCGCGAGGUGUAGCUAAUCUCAUAAAUCUUUUCGUAGUCCGGAUUGGAGUCUGCAACUCGACUCCAUGAAGUCGGAAUCGCUAGUAAUCGUAGAUCAGAAUGCUACGGUGAAUACGUUCCCGGGUCUUGUACACACCGCCCGUCAUACCAUGGGAGUGGGUUGCACCAGAAGUGGCUAGUCUAACUUUGUGAGGACGGUCACCACGGUGUGAUUCAUGACUGGGGUAAAGUCGUAACAAGGUAACC
rnacentral:rRNA from 1 species